rnacentral:lncRNA from 1 species
UCGAAUCUAGUUAGCAGGUUUGGGAUGAACCCCAUUUGGAUAAAGAUAAAAAAAAUAUAAAAUAUUGAUCGAGCUUCUAUUAUCAAUAAAGAUAUAGUUUACAUUAAAAUCAGCAAUGUUUGCUGUUACAACCAUCGCAUUAUUGUGCAGGAUAAGUACACCUUCAGCAUCUUGCUCAGUGAAGACAAUGGCAUCCUCGCCCUCAUCUUGAAGCCUUGGCCUCUUCGCCUCUAGAGGCUCUGCCAAUCCAGAUGACCCCCCAAUUAUCAUAUGAAUUUUUUCUUGGAU